AGACAUUGUUUUAGAAUAAGGUGAGGAGUGCAAAGGCCUGAAGGAAGUGAGGGAGCAUGCAGAUAUCUGAUGACUGAGUGUUCCAGGCAGAGGGAACAGCAAAUUCAAAGGCCCUAAAGAGAAGGCAUGUUUGGAAUGAACAUGGAGGUCAGCGUCUGCCUGGAGUGAAGGGACAGCAAACACUUGGAAGUCUUGGAAGCAGCAGCCGGCAAAGGCACUGCCACUUCUUGCUUCACCCUGCUCUUGUCUCCAACAUGAAUAUGAGGCUGGAGGUAUAUUGAAGAAUUUGCAGUCAUGAGGGUGAAAGGUACAUGAUAUUUAUGUGAUACGAUGAUACGCUUGAGCUGCUACACUGUCAUCCAGACUUCUUUUUAGAUUGUUGCAGAAGAGCCGAGAAAGGGAAGACAAUGGAUCCGAGCCAAUUCUUUCUUACAUGUGAAUGACUACUGCAGCUCUUGAAAUAGGGAUCCUUUUAAUAUGAAUAGUUUUUCUAUUACUUAUUUUAUACCAUGUGAUGAAUAACUUCACAAACUUGCAACCCCACUAUAGCCUUGGAUAGAGCUUGCCUGACACUUCUAGGACCUUGUCAUUAAAGAAGUAAACAACAGGCCAUCCCGUUAAAGUAAACCAUCCAUCUGUGUACUAAGAGAAAUUAAUCAUUUUGGCCUGUUUAGAAUAUUAUGAUUGAUUCUAGGCAUGCUUAAGCCCCAUCAUGGUACAAAUUGGGAAAAGGAAAUUGUGAUAGUUAAUUUUACUUGUCAGCUUGACUGAGCUAAGGGAUGUCCAGAUAUGGUCAAACAUUUUCUCUGGGUAUGUCUGUGGGGAUGUUACUGAAAAGAACAGCACUUGAAUCAACAGACUGAGUAAAAAUUAGCUUUCAUCAAUGUGGACAGAAAUCAUCUUAUCCUUCUGAGGGCCUGAAGAGAACAAAAAGGUAAAGGAAGGGCAAAUUCUCUUCUUGAGUUGGAACAUCCAUCUUCUACUCUUGGACAUCAGAGUUCCUGGUUCUCAAGUGCUUUUGGCCAGCAGUCUCCCUGUCCUCAGGCCUUUGGACUCAAAUUGAACUAUAGCUCUUGCUUUUCUGGUUCUCCAGCUUGCAAUGGAUAAUUUGCUUCUUUCUAGUUGUCAGCUCAUACAUUUAACACUGAUGUAAAUAUAAUUGGAUGUUUUGUGGGGGAAAUUGUGCAUUUCUGUUGGAAUUAAAGGGGGGAGAGGGAACAUAUGCCAUGUAUAUGGGGUUGGAAACAUCAAUAUUAUAAAGAUAUCAAUUGUAAUCUAAUGGAUCUAUGUAUUCAGUCCAACCUAAUAAAAAUUCUAGCAGGUUUUGUCUUGUUUUUGGCAGUCA